UAGGGAAUCUUCCGCAAUGGACGCAAGUCUGACGGAGCAACGCCGCGUGAGUGAAGAAGGAUUUCGGUUCGUAAAACUCUGUUGUUAGAGAAGAACAGCGCAUAGAGUAACUGUUAUGCGUGUGACGGUAUCUAACCAGAAAGCCACGGCUAACUACGUGCCAGCAGCCGCGGUAAUACGUAGGUCCCGAGCGUUGUCCGGAUUUAUUGGGCGUAAAGCGAGCGCAGGCGGUUAGAUAAGUCUGAAGUUAAAGGCAGUGGCUCAACCAUUGUAGGCUUUGGAAACUGUUUAACUUGAGUGCAGAAGGGGGGAGUGGAAUUCCAUGUGUAGCGGUGAAAUGCGUAGAUAUAUGGAGGAACACCGGUGGCGAAAGCGGCUAUCUGGUCUGUAACUGACGCUGAGGCUCGAAAGCGUGGGGAGCGAACAGG
rnacentral:rRNA from 1 species